rnacentral:rRNA from 1 species
GACGAACGCUGGCGGCGUGCUUAACACAUGCAAGUCGAACGCUGAAGCCCAGCUUGCUGGGUGGAUGAGUGGCGAACGGGUGAGUAACACGUGAGUAACCUGCCCCCUUCUUUGGGAUAACGCCCGGAAACGGGUGCUAAUACUGGAUAUUCACUGGCCUUCGCAUGGGGGUUGGUGGAAAGGUUUUUUCUGGUGGGGGAUGGGCUCGCGGCCUAUCAGCUUGUUGGUGGGGUGAUGGCCUACCAAGGCUUUGACGGGUAGCCGGCCUGAGAGGGUGACCGGUCACAUUGGGACUGAGAUACGGCCCACACUCCUACGGGAGGCAGCAUUGGGGAAUAUUGCACAAUGGGCGAAAGCCUGAUGCAAGCGACGCCGCGUGAGGGAUGACGGCCUUCGGGUUGUAAACCUCUUUCUCUCAUGGUUAACCCUCAGCUUUUUGUUGUGG